CUGAUGGAAACAGUAAAUCAGAUGACUAUAGAGUGUUAUAUCAAAAUUUAAAAUCCACCUAGCCUUUGAUCUAGCAAUCCCACCACUAAGAAUCUGAAGAAAAGAUAUUCCCCACCUGCGCUCAAAUCCAUUUGUGUGAAGAUGUUUCACUUUACAGCAUUGAUUCUCAUAGCAAAAAUCAGAAACAGCCGAAGCGUCCAUCAACAAAUUGAGCAAAUUAAGGUAUGCAUACAACAGAAUAUCACAGCAGCUCUGCAGAAGAAUGAGAUAGAUCUAUGUGGAAGUAAUAUAAUCUCAAAAAUACAGUGUUAAUUGGAAAAACAAGUUUUUCUUACUCUCUGGAGCAUGAACAGGAGGCCCUGAAGGUACAGCAGCCAUCUUAUGACAAUGAGACAAAGAGGUGCUGUAAUAGUUAUCUAUUGUUACAUAACAAAUGACCCUAAGACUUAGUGGCUUAAAACAACACUUAUUAUCCCUGCUUCUGUGGGUCAGAAAUCCCGGUGUGGUUCUGCAAUUUCAUCUGCAUACUCCACGAGGGAGAGAUCCACUUCUAAGUUCACUCAUUUGAUUGUUGGCAGGCCCCAGUCCCUCAUCACUUGGGCUCUCACAGAGCUGCCUUGCAACAUGGCAACCAACUUCCCCUAGAUAAUGACUGAUCCGAAAAAGAAUGAGAGAGAACAUGCACGACAGAAGCCAUUCUUUUUUUCUUUUGGAAGAACUACUGUGUUACUUGGUUCAAAUAUACAUUGUUAAAUCUA